AACUUGUGAUGGGGGCAUUGACGUAGUAGACCCUUGAAUUGACUCCACGCUUCAUGUAAUUCAUCCUCAUCUUUCUGCCUGAAUGUACUGAUCUGCUUCUUUAAAUU